AUGGACCGGUUCUCGUUAGAUCACCGAAGUUAAGCAUCAUUGGGCGCGGUCAGUACUUGGGUGGGUGACCACCUGGGAACACU
rnacentral:rRNA from 1 species